rnacentral:rRNA from 1 species
CAGGUUGAAGCGAGGGUAAAACCUCGUGGAGGACCGAACCACGUUGCUGUUGAAAAAGCAUGGGAUGAGCUGUGGAUAGCGGAGAAAUUCCAAUCGAACUCGGAUAUAGCUGGUUCUCCUCGAAAUAGCUUUAGGGCUAGCGUCGUGAAAUGUGAGUACUGGAGGUAGAGCACUGAAUAGGCUAGGGGGCAUAGCGCUUACCGAACCUUAUCAAACUCCGAAUGCCAGAUACUAUCAGCACGGCAGUCAGACUAUGAAAGAUAAGUUCCAUGGUCAAAAGGGAAACAGCCCAGAUCGUCAGCUAAGGUCCCAAAGUGUAAGUUAAGUGGAAAAGGAUGUGGGAUUUCUAAGACAACUAGGAUGUUGGCUUAGAAGCAGCCACUCAUUAAAAGAGUGCGUAAUAGCUCACUAGUCAAGAGAUCCUGCGCCGAAAAUGUCCGGGGCUCAAACUUACCACCGAAGCUACGGGUUCAUACUUUGUAUGAGCGGUAGAGGAGCGUCGUAAUCGGGCUGAAGUCGUACCGUAAGGAGCGGUGGACUGAUUACGAGUGAGAAUGUUGGCAUUAGUAGCGAGAUGUAGGUGAGAAUCCUACAGGCCGAAUAUCUAAGGUUUCCUGAGUAAAGUUUGUCUUCUCAGGGUUAGUCGGGACCUAAGGCGAGGCCGAGAGGCGUAGUCGAUGGACAAUUGGUUGAUAUUCCAAUACCACUAUAAUCGUUAUUAUCGAUGGUGUGACGGAGAAGGAUAGGAUGUGCCAGCUAUUGGAUGCUGGUCUAAGCGUUGAGGGAGUUAGAACAGGCAAAUCCGUUCUAACAAUCCUAGGGCGUGAUGGGGAAGGUUCUACGGAACCGAAGUAUCUGAUUUCAUGCUUCCAAGAAAAGCAUCUAGAAAGAGAAGUAGUGCCCGUACCGCAAACCGACACAGGUAGAUGAGGAGAGAAUCCUAAGGCCGACGGAAGAAUCACAGUUAAGGAACUAGGCAAAUUGACCCCGUAACUUCGGGAGAAGGGGUGCCUACCAUUUGGUAGGCCGCAGAGAAUAGGCACAAGCAACUGUUUAACAAAAACACAGGUCUCUGCUAAAGCGUAAGCUGAUGUAUAGGGGCUGACGCCUGCCCGGUGCUGGAAGGUUAAGGGGAACACUUAGCGCAAGCGAAGGUGUGAACUUAAGCCCCAGUAAACGGCGGCCGUAACUAUAACGGUCCUAAGGUAGCGAAAUUCCUUGUCAGGUAAGUUCUGACCCGCACGAAUGGCGUAAUGACUUG